GUGCAUUAGAUACAAAUAAUGAAUCGUAAUAGAAAUAGAAAAUAAAGUUCAGGUUCGAAUUCCAUAGAAUCGAUAAUAUGGAUGGGCUUGUCUAUAAUGGUAGACAAAUGAAAGACUUUCUCAAGAUUUUGAUUCAUCCACUUGAGAUUGUUAAAUGAAAAUAGGUUGGGUGAGCUGCCAAA